CCUACGGGAGGCAGCAGUGAGGAAUAUUGGUCAAUGGACGAGAGUCUGAACCAGCCAAGUAGCGUGAAGGAUGAAUGCCCUCUGGGUUGUAAACUUCUUUUAUAAAGGAAUAAAACGAGGCACGUGUGCCUUUUUGCAUGUACUUUAUGAAUAAGGAUAGGCUAACUCCGUGCCCGCAGCCGCGGUAAUACGGAGGAUCAGAGCGUUAUCCGGAUUUAUUGGGUUUAAAGGGAGCGUAGAUGGGUUGUUAAGUCAGUUGUGAAAGUUUGCGGCUCAACCGUAAAAUUGCAAUUGAUACUGGCAGUUGUGAGUACAGUUGAGGAAGGCGGAAUGCGUGGUGUAGCGGUGAAAGGCUUAGAUAUCACGAAGAACCCCGAUUGCGAAGGCAGCUUACUAAACUGUGACUGACAUUGAUGCUCGAAAGUGUGGGUAUCAAACAGGAUUAGAUACCCCAGUAGUC
rnacentral:rRNA from 1 species